rnacentral:rRNA from 1 species
GACGAACGCUGGCGGCGUGCUUAACACAUGCAAGUCGAACGGAAAGGCCCUGCUUUUGUGGGGUGCUCGAGUGGCGAACGGGUGAGUAACACGUGAGUAACCUGCCCUUGACUUUGGGAUAACUUCAGGAAACUGGGGCUAAUACCGGAUAGGAGCUCCUGCUGCAUGGUGGGGGUUGGAAAGUUUCGGCUGUUGGGGAUGGACUCGCGGCUUAUCAGCUUGUUGGUGGGGUAGUGGCUUACCAAGGCUUUGACGGGUAGCCGGCCUGAGAGGGUGACCGGCCACAAUGGGACUGAGAUACGGCCCAGACUCCUACGGGAGGCAGCAGUGGGGAAUAUUGCACAAUGGGCGGAAGCCUGAUGCAGCAACGCCGCGUGCGGGAUGACGGCCUUCGGGUUGUAAACCGCUUUCGCCUGUGACGAAGCGUGAGUGACGGUAAUGGGUAAAGAAGCACCGGCUAACUACGUG